rnacentral:rRNA from 1 species
AGUCUGACCUGCCCUCUGAUAUUUAUAUUGAAUGGCCGCGAUAAUUUGAUCGUGCAAAGGUAGCAUAAUAAUUAGUUUCUUAAUUAGGAACUGGAAUGAAAGGUCGAACGAAAAAAAAACUGUCUCAAUCUAAUUUAAAUUAAAAUUUUAUUUUUAAGUAAAAAAGCUUAAAUAAUUUUAAAAGACGAGAAGACCCUAUAGAGUUUUAUAUUUAUUUUUUAUUUUUUAUUUUAGGAAUUUUAAUUUAAAAUCAAAUUAUUAAGUAUUUAGUUGGGGUGAUUGAAAAAUUUAAUAAACUUUUUUUAAAAUUUUACAUUGAUAUAUGAGUAAGUGAUCCAUAAUUUUAUGAUUAAAAGAUUAAAUUACCUUAGGGAUAACAGCGUAAUUUUUUUUGAGAGUUCUUAUCGAAAAAAAAGUUUGCGACCUCGAUGUUGGAUUAAAAUAAACGUUUGGUGUAGAAGCUAAAUUAGUUAGGUCUGUUCGACCUUUAAAAUUUUACGUGAUCUGAGUUCAGACCGGA